GCCAAAAGAAGACGAAGGCAAAAAGUAGACAUCUUUCCUAUAAGUUUUAUUUUUUUCCAAAUGUGUUUUUUUCCUUAGAUCAUUGACAGAGCUCUAGAGAUACUACAUUGGUCAAGAAGACGGACAGAGAAAAAUGCUUCAGGUGAUUAAAAAGGUAGGGUCAAU
rnacentral:ribozyme from 15 species